rnacentral:rRNA from 1 species
UGGGGAAUUUUGGACAAUGGGGGAAACCCUGAUCCAGCCAUCCCGCGUGUGCGAUGAAGGCCUUCGGGUUGUAAAGCACUUUUGGCAGGAAAGAAACGUUAUGGGUUAAUACCCCGUGAAACUGACGGUACCUGCAGAAUAAGCACCGGCUAACUACGUGCCAGCAGCCGCGGUAAUACGUAGGGUGCAAGCGUUAAUCGGAAUUACUGGGCGUAAAGCGUGCGCAGGCGGUUCGGAAAGAAAGAUGUGAAAUCCCGGGGCUCAACUUUGGACCUGCAUUUUGAACUGCCGGGCUAGAGUGUGUCAGAGGGAGGUGGAAUUCCGCGUGUAGCAGUGAAAUGCGUAGAUAUGCGGAGGAACACCGGUGGCGAAGGCGGCCUCCUGGGAUAACACUGACACUCAUGCACGAAAGCGUGGGGAGCAAACAGG